rnacentral:lncRNA from 1 species
GUUUCGUUAACGAGUGUUCGACAGUGGUGUUCCGUCGAAACGUCGUAACAACCUCGGUGUGUCUGUUUCAUCGAGCGUAGGUGUGUCGUUCCAGCUCAGGUAUUCGAGACAGAGGUUGGUUUGAGGUCGCGAUAGUGGUGCUUCUCCCUUGCUCGUAGCCUCCAAGUUCGUUGCUCCCCAAAAGGUAACGUCCAGUUUAUUUUAACGCAACUCGCCAUUAAUAUUCCUUCAUCUACUCUUUCCUUACGCAAGCAAACUCAUGUGUGGAUAUUCGAGAUGUUUUGAGUGUUGUUGAUCGCUGCAUAAGUAAUAGGCUAUGUUAUUGGAAGUACUCUGUGUUGGUUUGUUUCGUUGAAGUUCGUAUGCCUUGUGUUCUUCUCCUAUUUUCCGAGUCCAUCGUCGCGAGGCAGCCAUUGUCGUUGGUUGGCUGACCUUGCACGAUGUACGCCGACUCUAAAUUUUAUUUCGCAAGCUGUUCUGGCGAUAAGCAUCUGUUUCCAGCAAGUUUAGAUGGUGCUUUUGCAUCUGUUUGCAUUAUGUCUAUCCCUACUCUGUUUCGGCCUAGCUGUUUGAUUUUCGGUUUCUUUCUCGCUCGAGUGUUUUUCAUUUCACCUCCAUUAGACUGUCUAGAGGCAGCACGACAUGUUUUGUAUGUUUUUUUUAUGUCGAUGACAGCUGCUGGUUCGUCGGAUGUCUUUCAUUCUUUGCUUGGCUCGUUAUUGCUGUAUUAAGAUGUUUGUGUGAGUCGAAUGAAGUUAGCUAGUCGGUCAACACGCCAAAUGAUUCACUCAUGCGAGUUUUUCGUCUUCGGAAAGCCAUGAACGCAGAAGAUGGUGCGUGAGCUUGCUUUGUAUUCUCUUUUGGUUAUGUUUCCUCUUACUGUUGGAUCUGUUUGUGAAGCAAUGUCGGACUUGUCUCUCGGUAUUUCGAAGUCAGUUACAUGAAAAUAUGGUCGAAGAGUGUAUGUGUGAGUUUUGUAUGUUCGGAAUUUUGUCUUUAGCUUCAAAAUCAUUAACCUUUUGUUUAAACAUUCCUUGGUAGCAUUCGUUUAAGUUCUCAAAUGUUCUGCUUGUUCAAUUGCGUUGAAGCAUAGAAGGUGUCUUUAUGUGUGAUUUGUGCUUACUGAGUUCGAUUUUGCCUCUUAUUAUUGUAUUCAAAGUAUGUUUUGAGGCUGUUCCGUCUCACUUAGCCGAAUGACGUUAGUGCCUUUGGUAUUCUUAGCUCGUGAUAUCCUUCUCACAUCUCAAGUGUUUUUAUAUGUUGGUUUAGCUAAGGUUGUCCUCCUUUUUUUGUCAAAAAUCAUGAAAGUAUAUCUUUUUAUUUACUGUGUUUCAUAGCUCGUGAGGAAUGUAUGCGGUCAUUUUCUAAAGGUUGCAGAAAAUAUACUUCUUAGAUUAGUAUACCCACAUCUCUGGGCAAAAGGGUUAGAUUCUGUGUAUUCCGACGUGUUCUGAAUAUAUUUAUUUUUGUUACUUUGUGGUAUUGUUUUUUUUGCAGAUUUUGGCACUUAUAUUCUGUUUCAUGUAUUUUGACUAUGUUUUCUAAUGAAAGUAUAUACGGUCUCCUAUUUUUCAUUUACUUAUUAUCAUUUGUGUACAUCUUUUAAGUCGCAAUAUGCUCUUUGCUCAUCUCAUGUUCUUUGGUACGUCAUCAUCUCUUAGACUCAUUAUAUUGGCCGUGUGAUUACGUGCUUAUGAUUGAAAUUGAAAUCUAUUAAAGAGCGCAUUCCCUAAUUUAUCUUUUAUUUCAUUGUGGCAUGUAAAAUCUAUUUGAGUUCCCUAUGAACUCUCCCUCUUCGCAUCUCGAGAGAGCCAUGAAGGCUCGAAAAAUUCUUAUAGAGUCAAUCCGUCAAAACCGGCAAGAAUGUAGAAAGUCAAGUGGAGAUGGAAGAAGAUGGACUAGAAGACUUUUUUUUAUCUUUAUUUUGUAUUUUGUAACGGGCAUAAGCCCUUGUCAAUUUACUUUCUUGUAUUUUUAGUUUUAUAUGUCUAGCAUAGGACAGGUGAAAAUGGGUCAAAUACCCAAAAACAGGUGGGUCCAAGUUUCGGUCAAGGCGAACAGAACCCGAAGACUUGGACCCAAAUAUCUCUCUCUCUCUUCUAUUUUACUACUUGUUUAUAUUUUUGCAUUAAUUGCCUCUUAGUCUAGGGUAAGAAUAACUCCAAGCCUCCUUUCGAAACGCCUUUCUAUUUUAUCAAGUUAAAAUUAAGUCUUAAAACAACAAAUAUUCAAAACUUGAAAAUUUGCCUAAGGGAAUGUUUUUGAAAGUUCAACUUAAGGUUUUGUAAAAAAAUUUUAAAACAAAAAUAGUCAAAUAAGUUAAUCGUCGGAAAACCGUAUUAACGGAGUANNNNNNNNNNNNNNNNNNNNUGGCGACUCCAUAAAGUCGAAAAUAAAAUAAACUUUUUUCGAAAAUCACAUUUUUUUUUGAUAAAACAAAUAUCUUUCUAAAUUUCCAGUAUAAACUGAGUACAUUAUCACUUAAAAAGCAAAUACCUCCUCUUAACUUCAAAUGGUUGACAUUUUCUCUGAUCUUAUCUUAUAAAAUAUCUGUUUUUCGUUUGCC